CGGAAGUUGAUGCCUCAGCUGACCAAAGCAUGAAAGCCGAGUCAGAAGAAGACCUGCAAAGGUUUAAAUCUAAUGGAGCUUCGGUGUCUUUACCGAAACACUCCUACUGGUUUGACUUUUGGCUCUUCGUGCUCUUCGACAUCGUGUUUUUCCUCUUCAUGUAUUUUAUCGUGCCGUAAAAAGGUUUGUCUGAGGGACCCGGGAGCUCGAUGAGAUGGCCCGCCGCCGCCGCCGCCACUGCUGCCUUGCUGCCAGGAGAGCUAACCCGGCUUCGACUGAAACUGACACCGCGUCGCCGACGCGACAUCAGGCGUCUCCACGGCUUGAUCAGCGCCGCGUUUGGGAACCACAGAACUCACUCAUGUUAUGAUCUGAAGCCAGACCUGGAGACUGAAUGGAAAUGACAUGAUCGACAUGAACCAAAGAAUGUGUAAAAUAUGAUUGUUUUCACUGUGAAGCAGGGAACUAAAAUGUGCUCAGUGUUUUCAGUCUGUAAUACCAAGUUUAACUAGUUUAACUUAGUUCUUUGUCUCCUGUUAACCUACAAAGUAGAACACAGUAGAAAAGUAUUUGUUCCGGCACAUUACAGAGAGCACCGUGUUUCUGUGGAAGACUUGGAUUUGAACCUUUAUGGACUUUAUACAUUUAUGGUCAAAUAAAGUGUCGUGUCUUCCUGCUAAUGAUUGACCAUUUCAUUCAGAAUUUUUGUGGUCUAAAAUAAUAAAAAGUUUGCCUCGUUCCAUAAACAUG